AACAGGAUUAGAUACCCUGGUAGUCCACGCCGUAAACGAUGUCGACUUGGAGGUUGUUCCCUUGAGGCGUGGCUUCCGGAGCUAACGCGUUAAGUCGACCGCCUGGGGAGUACGGCCGCAAGGUUAAAACUCAAAUGAAUUGACGGGGGCCCGCACAAGCGGUGGAGCAUGUGGUUUAAUUCGAUGCAACGCGAAGAACCUUACCUACUCUUGACAUCCAGAGAACUUAGCAGAAAUGCUUUGGUGCCUUCGGGAACUCUGAGACAGGUGCUGCAUGGCUGUCGUCAGCUCGUGUUGUGAAAUGUUGGGUUAAGUCCCGCAACGAGCGCAACCCUUAUCCUUUGUUGCCAGCGGUCCGGCCGGGAACUCAAAGGAGACUGCCAGUGAUAAACUGGAGGAAGGUGGGGAUGACGUCAAGUCAUCAUGGCCCUUACGAGUAGGGCUACACACGUGCUACAAUGGCGCAUACAAAGAGAAGCGACCUCGCGAGAGCAAGCGGACCUCAUAAAGUGCGUCGUAGUCCGGAUUGGAGUCUGCAACUCGACUCCAUGAAGUCGGAAUCGCUAGUAAUCGUAGAUCAGAAUGCUACGGUGAAUACGUUCCCGGGCCUUGUACACACCGCCCGUCACACCAUGGGAGUGGGUUGCAAAAGAAGUAGGUAGCUUAACCUUCGGGAGGGCGCUUACCACUUUGUGAUUCAUGACUGGGGUGAAGUCGUAACAAGGUAACC
rnacentral:rRNA from 1 species